UUGUUUCCUUUUACAACUAGGUCACAAAGUCCUUGGAUGUGGGUGUUGAGGUGGAUGUUAUCUACCUGGGCUUCAAGAAGGCCUUUUACACUGUUUCUCACCGCAUUCUCAUA